rnacentral:rRNA from 1 species
UGCAACCUACCUUAAUCAGGGGGAUAGCCCGAAGAAAUUCGGAUUAACACCGCAUAAAAUCACAGUACCGCAUGGUACAAUGAUCAAAUAUUUAUAGGAUUGAGAUGGGCAUGCGUGUCAUUAGUUAGUUGGCGGGGUAACGGCCCACCAAGACCGCGAUGACUAGGGGAUCUGAGAGGAUGGCCC